UAUUAACUCUUUCUUCGUGCUUAACACAUGCCAGUCGAACGGAAAGGCCCUUGCUUGCAGGGGUACUCGAGUGGCGAACGGGUGAGUAACACGUGGGUGAUCUGCCCUGCACUUCGGGAUAAGCCUGGGAAACUGGGUCUAAUACCGGAUAGGACCAUCGUUUAGUGUCGGUGGUGGAAAGUUUUUUCGGUGUGGGAUGAGCUCGCGGCCUAUCAGCUUGUUGGUGGGGUAAUGGCCUACCAAGGCGUCGACGGGUAGCCGGCCUGAGAGGGUGUACGGCCACAUUGGGACUGAGAUACGGCCCAGACUCCUACGGGAGGCAGCAGUGGGGAAUAUUGCACAAUGGGCGCAAGCCUGAUGCAGCGACGCCGCGUGGGGGAUGACGGCCUUCGGGUUGUAAACUCCUUUCGUCAGGGACGAAGCGAAAGUGACGGUACCUGGAUAAGAAGCACCGGCUAACUACGUG
rnacentral:rRNA from 1 species